GACGUAGGAGGCGAGCGUUGUCCGGAUUCAUUGGGCGUAAAGAGCUCGCAGGCGGUUUGGCAAGUCUGCUGUGAAAACCCGAAGCUCAACUUCGGGCCUGCAUUCGAAACUGCCCGACUAGAGGUAGGUAGGGGAGAUCGGAAUUCCUGGUGUAGCAGUGAAAUGCGUAGAUAUCAGGAGGAACACCGAUGGCGAAGGCAGGUCUCUGGGCUGACACUGACGCUCAUGCACGAAAGCGUGGGGAGCAAACAGG
rnacentral:rRNA from 1 species